CCUUGCUCUGAGCUGAUGCAACCUCAUGCCAAUGCACAAAUUACAAGAAGCUUGCAAUCCCUGUUUUAUUCAGUACAAGCAACUCUUCCUGUCUUCUUACCGAGUGAUUGAAAUUUUACUCUUCAAUAUGGAAACUUCUACUUUGCCUCCCUAGUAUUAUACUAUUGAAAGACUCCAUUCAAGGAUAGAUUCUGCUUUGCAGAUCAACAUGCUGUAUAUCACAAUAAUAAUGGGACUCACGGCGUGGUGGAUGGACAGAGGAGCUUUCUCCUGGAGUGGUAUUUCUGCAAUUUCUAGUG